AGCUGUGUAACUUUGUCCACAGACACAUUCAGCAGUCUUGGACGUUAUUUCCCAAAUCCAAGCUUCAGCAUGGUCUAUCACACGGAAGAUACCUGAUGAGUGUUAUGAAGCAAUGACUGACUGUGGCAGUGUUUCUGGGACUCUGAAGAGGCAAUUCAUACUUCAUGGUGGAAGUGGGAAAGGAGAUCAGCAAAGAUUCAAGAAAAGUAAAGUAAGGUGCUGGAUCACCUUCUGAGACGAGGUGCCAGAGCUGGGAGCAGGAGUACAAGGAUUACUAUAAAUUCUGAGACCUAUGAAGCUACCCAACAGGAAGAAGACACUCAUGUUCCAACAUGGUACAGCUACAUUCAGUCCUUUCUGGAACCCAAUAAAGUCGGAAUCCUGACUCAACAGCAGCCAUUUUGUUCAGUAAAGCUGUAGCCAUUUUGUUC
rnacentral:lncRNA from 1 species